GUUCUGUCCAAAAACAGCGGCCCUUUGUGUCAACAGAGACGUCUGGUGGGCCGCCAUCAUGGUGAGGUCGGCUUAGCCGGAAACCUGCCCUGCUUCUGUGGUUCUCAGGUCUUCCCUGCCAGUCAGCACACCCUCUGGAGUUUCCCUCGCCUCGUCUGCUAGCCCUCUCCUUCGGAACCCAGGCCUUGCCUCACCCCCCCAUCAGUUUUCCCUCAGUCAUUUCAUAAAUAAAACUCUUUUGUUCAUCUCCA